rnacentral:misc_RNA from 1 species
CAACCCUUAAGCCUAGCUUAGUGUUGGGAAUCUACUUUGAGCGGAGCUACCCUGUAGCUACCCUGUAGUUCCCCAAAUUGAACGGCGGAUCUGCAGUAUCCUCUGAGCGUAGUAAAUUUUUAUCUCGCUUUUGAAAGGUGCUGUAACUCUUGCCGCAAAACCCCCAAUUUUUCAAUGG